rnacentral:rRNA from 1 species
UACGUAGGGGGCAAGCGUUGUCCGGAAUCAUUGGGCGUAAAGCGCGUGUAGGCGGCUCGAUAAGUCUGCUGUGAAAGUCCAAGGCUCAACCUUGGGAUGCCGGUGGAUACUGUCGAGCUCGAGUCCGGAAGAGGAGUGUGGAAUUCCUGGUGUAGCGGCGAAAUGCGCAGAUAUCAGGAGGAACACCAAUGGCGAAGGCAGCACUCUGGGACGUGACUGACGCUGAGACGCGAAAGCGUGGGGAGCAAACAGG